GUGGUGCACGGCCCACACAACGUGUCGCGACGGAUGACUUGGCUUCCCGGUUCGUUGAAGAACGCAGCAAAGCGCGAUAGGUGGUAUGAUCUGCAGAACCACACGAUUACCCAGUCUUUGAACGCAAACGGCGCAUGGGAGCAGCCCCUCGGGGUCAUCCCCGUGCAUGCCGCAGUCUCAGUGUCGAAC
rnacentral:rRNA from 1 species